rnacentral:rRNA from 1 species
CAGUCGCCGCGGGAAAACGGAGGGGGCUAGCGUUGUUCGGAAUUACUGGGCGUAAAGCGUACGUAGGCGGCUUUGUAAGUUAGAGGUGAAAGCCUGGUGCUCAACACCAGAACUGCCUUUAAGACUGCAUCGCUUGAACGUCGGAGAGGUGAGUGGAAUUCCGAGUGUAGAGGUGAAAUUCGUAGAUAUUCGGAAGAACACCAGUGGCGAAGGCGACAUACUGGAUCAUUACUGACGCUGAGGCUCGAAAGCGUGGGGAGCAAACAGGAUUAGAUACCCCCGUAGUCCCUGUCUCUUAUAC